GAAGGCGGCCCCCCGGACAAAGAACGACCACAGGCGGAAAGCGUGGGAGCAAACAGGAUUAGAUACCCUGGUAGUCCCACGCCGUAAACGAUGUCGAUUUGGAGGUUUGUGCCCUUUGAGGCGUGGCUUUCCGGAGCUAAACGCGUUAAAUCGACCGCCUGGGGAGUACGGCCGCAAAGGUUAAAACUCAAAAUGAAUUGACGGGGGCCCGCACAAGCGGUGGAGCAUGUGGUUUAAUUCGAUGCAACGCGAAGAACCUUACCUGGUCUUGACAUCCACAGAACUUUCCAGAGAUGGAUUGGUGCCUUCGGGAACUGUGAGACACGUGCUGCAUGGCUGUCGUCAGCUCGUGUUGUGAAAUGUUGGGUUAAGUCCCGCAACGAGCGCAACCCUUAUCCUUUGUUGCCAGCGGUUAGGCCGGGAACUCAAAGGAGACUGCCAGUGAUAAACUGGAGGAAGGUGGGGAUGACGUCAAGUCAUCAUGGCCCUUACGACCAGGGCUACACACGUGCUACAAUGGCGCAUACAAAGAGAAGCGACCUCGCGAGAGCAAGCGGACCUCAUAAAGUGCGUCGUAGUCCGGAUUGGAGUCUGCAACUCGACUCCAUGAAGUCGGAAUCGCUAGUAAUCGUAGAUCAGAAUGCUACGGUGAAUACGUUCCCGGGCCUUGUACACACCGCCCGUCACACCAUGGGAGUGGGUUGCAAAAGAAGUAGGUAGCUUAACCUUCGGGAGGGCGCUUACCACUUUGUGAUUCAUG
rnacentral:rRNA from 2 species